UACAGAGGGGGCAAGCGUUGUUCGGAAUUACUGGGCGUAAAGGGCGCGUAGGCGGCCUGCUAAGUCGAACGUGAAAUCCCUGGGCUCAACCCAGGAACUGCGUCCGAUACUGGUUGGCUUGAAUUCGGGAGAGGGAUGCAGAAUUCCAGGUGUAGCGGUGAAAUGCGUAGAUAUCUGGAGGAAUACCGGUGGCGAAGGCGGCAUCCUGGACCGACAUUGACGCUGAGGCGCGAAAGCUAGGGGAGCAAACGGG
rnacentral:rRNA from 1 species